GGCCACUGCUAUUGGGAUCCGACCAAGCCAUGCGAGUCGAGAGGGUUCGGCCCUCGGCAGACUGCUCAGUAACACGUAGAUAACCUAACCUUAGGUGGAAGAUAACCUCGGGAAACUGAGAAUAAUAUUCCAUAGAUCUAGGAUGCUGGAAUGCAUCUAGAUUGAAAGUUCCGACGCCUAAGGAUGGGUCUGCGGACUAUCAGGUUGUAGUCAGGGUAAAGACCUGACUAGCCUACGACGGAUAUGGGUUGUGAGAGCAAUAGCCCAGAGACGAUAUCUGAGACACGAUAUCGGGGCCCUACGGGGCGCAGCAGGCGCGAAAUYUUCACAAUGUGCGAAAGCACGAUGAGGGGAUCCCAAGUGCUGGCACGUAAGUGUCAGCUGUUUCUUAGUCUAAAAAACUGAGAGAGUAAGGGCUGGGUAAGACGGGUGCCAGCCGCCGCGGUAAUACCUGCAGCUCAAGUGGUGGCCGCUAUUAUUGGGCCUAAAACGUCCGUAGCCUGUUUAGUAAAUGCUUGGGUAAAUUGUGUAGCUUAACUAUACGAAUACCGGGUAGACUGCUAAACUUGGGACCGGGAGAGGCUAGAGGUACUCCUGGGGUAGAGGUGAAAUUCUGUAAUCCUAGGGGGACCACCAGUGGCGAAGGCGUCUAGCUAGAACGGGUCUGACGGUGAGGGACGAAGCCCUGGGGCGCAAACCGGAUUAGAUACCCGGGUAGUCCAGGGUGUAAACGCUGCUUGCUUGAUGUUAGUUGGGCUCCGAGCCCAACUAGUGUCGGAGAGAAGUUGUUAAGCAAGCUGCCUGGGAAGUACGGUCGCAAGACUGAAACUUAAAGGAAUUGGCGGGGGAGCACAGCAACGGGUGGAGCGUGCGGUUU
rnacentral:rRNA from 1 species